rnacentral:sRNA from 1 species
UCCCUUCAUUUUCUUUUGGAUCCACCCUGGAAAAUGCUGUCAGAAAUGAAAGGAAAAGCCAUCAUAUUCCACUGGUUGUGCAAUUUUUGUGUAGCGCUCUUUACGGCGUGAAGCGGAAUAAUUCAAUCAGCGCCGAAGUGAGGAAAAAGUGCCAAAAGCUCAGCUUGAUGUUGGCCAAAUGGGAAAGCGGGGCGCGUGCAACUUAAACAAACCGGAAAAGCAAAUACAACGCAGCGACACAGUUAAGGAGGAACUUCCUGUUUGCGAAACAACAGCACCCAGUUUUUACAGAUCCAAGGAAGAGAGAGACAGACAGACAGGCAGUACGAGUAGCACUGGUAGUAUCCGUGAUGGUAACGUAAGUCGGGCGUCUUGGCCAGGAACAUGUGCGAUGGCAGCUUAAUUUCGUUUACUUACCUGAAAGCUGUUUAUGUGCUUGCGAAAUUACGAAUUAAAUUUUUAAUUUGUCAAAAAGAACAACAGCUCGGCAACCGGAUACGUUGAGCAUGUGUGUGUGUGUCUGUGUGCUCCCAUGUGUAUCUGAACCAGCAUCCUGCAUCCGUGACGUUUGCCGUUCCAUUUCUAGAUGAUUAACUGCAGCUAGCGCACUGAUAUCCCAAGCAAAGCAAUCCAAUUAAAUCGGGAUGCUUUAUGGCAAUUUAAGGCCAAGUGGUUCAGUUGUUAACAAUAUACGAUAAUUC